GUGUCAGCAGCCGCGGUAAUACGAACUGUGCAAACGUUAUUCGGAAUCACUGGGCUUAAAGGGUGCGUAGGCGGCCAUUUAAGUAGGGUGUGAAAGCCCCCGGCUCAACCGGGGAAUUGCGUCCUAAACUGGAUGGCUCGAGUGAGAUAGAGGUGUGUGGAACUUCCGGUGGAGCGGUGAAAUGUGUUGAUAUCGGAAGGAACGCCGGUGGCGAAAGCGACACACUGGGUCUCAACUGACGCUGAGGCACGAAAGCCAGGGGAGCGAACGGGAUUAGAUACCCCGGUAGUCC
rnacentral:rRNA from 1 species